rnacentral:rRNA from 1 species
UGGGGAAUUUUGGACAAUGGGCGAAAGCCUGAUCCAGCAAUGCCGCGUGUGUGAAGAAGGCCUUCGGGUUGUAAAGCACUUUUGUCCGGAAAGAAAUCCUUGGCUCUAAUACAGUCGGGGGAUGACGGUACCGGAAGAAUAAGCACCGGCUAACUACGUGCCAGCAGCCGCGGUAAUACGUAGGGUGCAAGCGUUAAUCGGAAUUACUGGGCGUAAAGCGUGCGCAGGCGGUUUGCUAAGACCGAUGUGAAAUCCCCGGGCUCAACCUGGGAACUGCAUUGGUGACUGGCAGGCUAGAGUAUGGCAGAGGGGGGUAAAUUCCACGUGUAGCAGUGAAAUGCGUAGAGAUGUGGAGGAAUACCGAUGGCGAAGGCAGCCCCCUGGGCCAAAUACUGACGCUCAUGCACGAAAGCGUGGGGAGCAAACAGGAUUAGAUACCCUGGUAGUCCACGCCCUAAACGAUGUCAACUAGUUGUUGGGGAUUCAUUUCCUUAGUAACGUAGCUAACGCGUGAAGUUGACCGCCUGGGGAGUACGGUCGCAAGAUUAAAACUUAAAGGAAUUGACGGGGUCAUAGCUGUUUCCU